rnacentral:rRNA from 1 species
AACGAACGCUGGCGGCAGGCUUAACACAUGCAAGUCGAGCGCCCCGCAAGGGGAGCGGCAGACGGGUGAGUAACGCGUGGGAAUCUACCCAGCUCUACGGAAUAACUCAGGGAAACUUGUGCUAAUACCGUAUACGUCCGAUAGGAGAAAGAUUUAUCGGAGUUGGAUGAGCCCGCGUUGGAUUAGCUAGUUGGUGGGGUAAUGGCCUACCAAGGCGACGAUCCAUAGCUGGUCUGAGAGGAUGAUCAGCCACACUGGGACUGAGACACGGCCCAGACUCCUACGGGAGGCAGCAGUGGGGAAUAUUGGACAAUGGGCGCAAGCCUGAUCCAGCCAUGCCGCGUGAGUGAUGAAGGCCCUAGGGUUGUAAAGCUCUUUCACCGGUGAAGAUAAUGACGGUAACCGGAGAAGAAGCCCCGGCUAACUUCGUGCCAGCAGCCGCGGUAAUACGAAGGGGGCUAGCGUUGUUCGGAAUUACUGGGCGUAAAGCGCACGUAGGCGGAUUGUUAAGUUAGGGGUGAAAUCCCAGGGCUCAACCCUGGAACUGCCUCUAAUACUGGCAAUCUCGAGUUCGAGAGAGGUGAGUGGAAAUUCCGAGUGUAGAGGUGAAAUUCGUAGAUAUUCGGAGGAACACCAGUGGCGAAAGGCGGCUCACUGGGCUCGAUACUGACGCUGA